UCUAAGGUGUUUAGAGUACAGUACAUGUCUCUGUUAGACUCUAAUGGGUUUGAGAGUACAGUACAUGUCUCUGUUAGACUCUAAGGUGUUUAGAGUACAGUACAUGUCUCUGUUAGACUCUAAGGUGUUUAGAGUACAGUACAUGUCUCUGUUAGACUCUAAGGUGUUUAGAGUACAGUACAUGUCUCUGUUAGACUCUAAGGUGUUUAGAGUACAGUACAUGUCUCUGUUAGACUCUAAGGUGUUUAGAGUACAGUACAUGUCUCUGUUAGACUCUAAGGUGUUUAGAGUACAGUACAUGUCUCUGUUAGACUCUAAGGUGUUUAGAGUACAGUACAUGUCUCUGUUAGACUCUAAGGUGUUUAGAGUACAGUACAUGUCUCUGUUAGACUCUAAGGUGUUUAGAGUACAGUACAUGUCUCUGUUAGACUCUAAGGUGUUUAGAGUACAGUACAUGUCUCUGUUAGACUCUAAGGUGUUUAGAGUACAGUACAUGUCUCUGUUAGACUCUAAGGUGUUUAGAGUACAGUACAUGUCUCUGUUAGUUAUGUGUUUAACUCUCAACUGGAACCACUUGUUUCAUAUCUCCCCUCCCCCCGUCUCUCUCCCCUCUCUC